rnacentral:lncRNA from 1 species
GAAACAAGAAAACUAAGAAGAAGAGAUAGCACCAAGCUUAUCCCCAAUUCAGUACUAUCGCAUUAUGGCAUUUUUUUCUCCUCUCCCAUCCUCCUUAUACUACCCCAAGAUACCAACUCCUAUACUAUAGAUGAUAACUACUUUUCUUGACUAUUCAUCCAUUUUACCUACUGAACCACCUUUUCAGCAGUUAUCUAUCCCUAUUUACACUAUACACUAGAUAUCUACAUUCUGAAAAUAAUUACUUAUUCUACAUAGCUCCACUCCUAACUAUGCAGUGUCCUCGCAAACACUUAAUUGAUACCUAUCUAAAAAUUAUCUAACAAAUCUCCAUAAAAAUUACUAGUUCCUCUAGCUUAUCUAAUUAAUCAAUUGCCA